rnacentral:rRNA from 1 species
GGAUUAGGCAUGCAAGUCGUACGUGAUCCUCGCCUUCGGUGAGGUGAAAGUGGCGAACGGGUGAGUAAUGCAUAGCUAACCUACCCUUGGUACGGGGAUAACCAGGAGAAAUCUUGGCUAAUACCCGAUAGGCUCGUGGGGUUGCAUAAUCCCGCGAGUAAAGAAGGCCUCUUAGCAAUGCUUUCGACCGAGGACGGGACUAUGUCCUAUCAGCUAGUUGGUAGGGUAAUGGCCUACCAAGGCAAUGACGGGUAGCCGACCUGAGAGGGUGACCGGCCACACUGGGACUGAGACACUGCCCAGACUCCUACGGGAGGCUGCAGUCGAGAAUCUUCCGCAAUGGGGGAAACCCUGACGGAGCGACGCCGCGUGCGGGAUGAAGGCCUUCGGGUUGUAAACCGCUGUCACGCAUUAAGAAGGGUCCGGCGUUAACAGCGCUGGGCUUUGACGAAGGUGCGGAAGGAAGCCACGGCUAACUCUGUGCCAGCAGCCGCGGUAAGACAGAGGUGGCGACCGUUGUUCGGAAUCACUGGGCAUAAAGCGCGCGUAGGCGGCAUGGUAAGUCGGGUGUGAAAUCCCUCGGCCCAACCGAGGAAUUGCGCUCGAAACUACCGUGCUUGAGGACAGGAGGGGAGCCUGGAAUUCCUGGUGGAGCGGUGAGAUGCGUUGAUAUCAGGAGGAACACCGGCGGCGAAGGCGAGGCUCUGGCCUGUUUCUGACGCUGAGGCGCGAAAGCUAGGGGAGCAAACGGGAUUAGAUACCCCGGUAGUCCUAGCCGUAAACGAUGGGCACUAGGUAGGG